GCCAGGCAUGAUGGCUCAUGCCUGUAAUCCCAGCACUUUGGGAGGCUGAGACAGGUGGAUCAUCUGAGGUCAGGAGUUCAAGACCAGCCUGACCAACAUGGUGACACCCUGUCUCUA
ensembl:misc_RNA Metazoa_SRP Metazoan signal recognition particle RNA